rnacentral:rRNA from 1 species
UUGGAGGGCAAGUCUGGUGCCAGCAGCCGCGGUAAUUCCAGCUCCAAUAGCGUAUAUUUAAGUUGUUGCAGUUAAAAAGCUCGUAGUUGAAUUUCGGGACCAUCAUGUCGGUCGUGCCUCGGUACGUACUGGCAUUGUUGGUUUCUCCCUUCUGACGAACCAUGAUGUCAUUUAUUUGGUGUUGUGGGGAAUCAGGACUGUUACUUUGAAAAAAUUAGAGUGUUUAAAGCAGGCUCACGCUUGAAUACAUUAGCAUGGAAUAAUGAAAUAGGACGUUUGAUUCUAUAAUGAUUAAUAGGGAUAGUUGGGGGCAUUAGUAUUCAAUUGUCAGAGGUGAAAUUCUUGGAUUUAUUGAAGACUAACUACUGCGAAAGCAUUUGCCAAGGAUGUUUUCAUUAAUCAAGAACGAAAGUUAGGGGAUCGAAGACGAUCAGAUACCGUCGUAGUCUUAACCAUAAACUAUGCCGACUAGGGAUCGGAUGAUGUUAAUUUUUUAAUGACUCAUUCGGCGCCUUACGGGAAAC